CUGGAGAAGCCACGGCUGCAGUGGCAAUAUUCCUCAUUUGUUUGUGUCAUACAGAGAAUUUAUUUGCAAGAAGAGUCCUGCUCCAAAGAGAAAAUGAAUAGCCAAUAUAUGCGCCAUGAAGUGCGGGGUUGUGAAACCAGUGACCUGAGGAACUUCUGGGAAAAGACCAUUGAACAACAAACUCAAUAUCUGCAAAGUGAAAAAGAACGUCAGCGAAGAAGUGCUCUGACAAAGCUCAGAAAUGAAUGGAUGGAGAGGCUGGAAAAGCGGAUAAAGAUGUUGAGGACCCAGUCUGAAGACUCAUCCAGCUGAAGAGCCCACACUCAUUACACGUUUGGGGGAAAAAAAUUCUGUUUUGUAGGAAAGUGUGAUGCAAAAGCUGAAGUCAGCUUUACUUUGUAGCUUAAAUGAGCUAUUAUUAAUUAGCUGUUGUUAGAAGUUUCAUACGUGAAAUGUCAAUUGCUGCUUUUAAGAUUAUGCAUCUGUCCCUUCAUUUGAUAAAUGGAGAAUGUAGCACUCUGAAGUAUUUAACCCUAAUAAAUCAUGGUUCACUGACA
rnacentral:lncRNA from 1 species